UCGAGAAUCUUCGGCAAUGGACGCAAGUCUGACCGAGCGACGCCGCGUGCGGGAUGAAGGUCUUCGGAUUGUAAACCGCUGUCAGAGGGGAUGAAGUGUACGGGAGUUAUCUCCCGUAUUUGACAGAGCCUCAGAGGAAGCACGGGCUAAGUUCGUGCCAGCAGCCGCGGUAAUACGAACUGUGCGAACGUUAUUCGGAAUCACUGGGCUUAAAGGGUGCGUAGGCGGCUGCCUAAGUCAGGUGUGAAAUCUCUCGGCUCAACCGGGAAACUGCGCUUGAUACUGGGCGGCUCGAGUGAGGUAGGGGUGUGUGGAACUUCCGGUGGAGCGGUGAAAUGUGUAGAUAUCGGAAGGAACGCCAGCAGCGAAAGCGGCACACUGGGCCUUUUCUGACGCUGAGGCACGAAAGCCAGGGGAGCGAACGG
rnacentral:rRNA from 1 species